AUUGAACGCUGGCGGCAUGCUUUACACAUGCAAGUCGAACGGUAACAGGCCGCAAGGUGCUGACGAGUGGCGAACGGGUGAGUAAUGCAUCGGAACGCGCCCAGUCGUGGGGGAUAACUGCUCGAAAGAGCAGCUAAUACCGCAUACGAUCUAUGGAUGAAAGCGGGGGACCGUAAGGCCUCGCGUGAUUGGAGCGGCCGAUGUCAGAUUAGGUAGUUGGUGGGGUAAAGGCUCACCAAGCCAACGAUCUGUAGCUGGUCUGAGAGGACGACCAGCCACACUGGGACUGAGACACGGCCCAGACUCCUACGGGAGGCAGCAGUGGGGAAUUUUGGACAAUGGGGGCAACCCUGAUCCAGCAAUGCCGCGUACAGGAAGAAGGCCUUCGGGUUGUAAACUGCUUUUGUACGGAACGAAACGGUCUGGGUUAAUACCCUGGGCUAAUGACGGUACCGUAAGAAUAAGCACCGGCUAACUACGUGCCAGCCGCCGCAGUAACAC
rnacentral:rRNA from 1 species